CCCAGUGUGGGGCUCGAUCCCAUGAACCAUGAGAUCAUGACCUGAGCUGAAAUCAAGAGUCCGAUGUUCAACGGACUGAGCCACCCAGGCACCCCGAUAAGUGUUUGAGUUAACUAAGUAAAUAACACACAAAAAUUCCCUGAAACUUUUAUUGAGGUAUACUUCCAGUCCAUAUUUUUGGAUAGGUCCUAGUCAUUUGUAAGAAGGAAUAAGUGAAGACUACUUUCAGUGCCGACUAUGAAAGAUUUACUAGCUGACCUUUCCUACACUGAUUGGGCAGCCAUAAAAAAUAUUGGCUGCAGAUAUCUUGGGCAGCGUACCACAAACCUUUAAGUACAGCCGCCAGUUUAUUUUUGCUGACCUUUCUGGUAAUUUUUGGCAUAGGUCAUAGUCUCAAGCAAAUACGCUAAAAAGUCACUUACAUUGAAUAUUGUAUUAGAUUGAAGCAAGCUUCAUAAAGUCCCAGUAAGAUGAUUUUUGAAGGUUUAUCAAUUUAGAUUAUAAGACAUCUUGACCCUUGUUGAGAAGACUCAAAGCGUCAUACAUUUGUGCCCAUUGUAGCAUGAACGGGACAAAGACAUGCGACUUAAUUUAGCACAUGCCAAGGCCGAUGUUGCUGGAAGCAAUUUCCUACCGAGAUUGGUGUUGGAGAGCAAGACUCAUUGAAGUUCUCCAGUGCCGCAUUGUUUGUGUUGGAGAUUACGUACCUGUGAUCAUGCUGAAAGACAUAGUGUCUUCCCAUAUGAAGAUUGCAGCCAACACACAGAAACAGGAGCACAGCACCCUUCUGGACUCGGGAGAGGGGUUGAGACAUCGUUUUUGCCUCUUGGGCAUAAUCUAGUGGGAGAGAAACACACCAUCCUAAACUCCAGAGAAGACGAACAGGAGAGAUUUGGUCAAGCAGAAAAGCAACACGGAACAUGCUGCUAAUUGCAGCUGAAGCUUGGAAGGCACCCCGAAGGUGUGCCCUGAACUGUGUCUUCAAGACUACAUGUAAUUUCUGAUGGAGGGGACAUGAGGGAAGGAGGGCAGGAAAGAAACAGUACAAACCUGGAAACCCAUCAAGACUGGGUAUAGGGCGCCAAAGUCUACGGUGGUGGGCGAGAAGAAUGAAAACAGGUCGUGGUGGGGAUUAAAGACUUACAAAUUUCAUUACGUGCAGUGGGUCGCUGAGCCAGACACGCUGUCUGCACUUCUGCCGUAUUCCAUGCCCAGAGUCUCCAGCCACGUUUUAAACUACUCGAGGGCAAAUACAAAAUCACACAGAAAAGGCUUAUCUGAAGGUUGGACCCUAGCAGACUUGUGUCUUGGGAAUAAAACUUUGAAUGUCAAAACAAAUGAAAAUGAAAAAGAAGGGAAGGAAGAGAAGAGGGAGGAGGAGGAGAAGUAAGAAGAGGAGGAGGACGAGGAAGAGAGAAAAAAGGAAGAGCCCAAAGGCCUCCAGGAAUGCGUAAAACCCUGUUAUAAAGCAUGGGCUUAGGAGUCCGACGAUGUAAGUUUGAAUCCUGAUUCUGUGACUUAUUAAUGAUGGGACCUCAUCAGCCUGAUUCCCUCCUAUUCAAACUGGGCAUCACAGCAGUGCCUGCCCUAGAGGGACACUGGAUGAAGAUACUCUCCAAGCACUCUUUGUGGUGGCCUCGCACGGUGACCGGCCAGUGUGUGCUACCUGCUUAGCAAAGCUGCUGGGUGCUGGUGCUGUCACCUGGCAUGGAAGUUCACGGCUUUUCUCAAAAGACGUGUUCUCAUUUUGUCACUCAGAGCCUCCUGGCUCUACUAAGAUGAGAUUUCUACUCCCCUUGCUUGUUUGGUUUUGGCAUACUAAGGCAGGGGUGCGGAGAUCGUCACAGGAAGAGUCUGCAGAAAUCAUAAAUGAUUUGCCGAGAGACCCAUCAAGGGAGGAGGAUAGAACCAGCAACGCAGACACGAGUCUCUGGGAUGUAUUGUGUACACACACACUUGGCUAUGUGUUAAAGCAUCACAAGGACAUAGUUGACGUACGUCACACUGUCUCUGAGUUGGUGUGAAAAGCUAAACGCCCUCGUUCGAUCUGAGCACCUCCCGUAUUCAAAGGAUUAUGAGUGAUGCAGGGAUGGUACAGAUGAAUGAGAGAAUACGAUGCUUGUGUUAACGGAGCUCACAAGUUAGGAAGUCUGUAGCAACAGCUUGGAAAUUUUCCCUCCAAAAUAGUUAAGGGGAGCAAAACAUUUUAGACGUCUGAAAAAAGCGUCGUUUGUGGAGGAGAAGUGUGGACAGCUUAUUUGCCAGCAGUGGGUGAUAAUGAGGUUAUAGAAUAUGCUGUGCUAAACACACUGCAGGUGCCCACAAGUCGCCCGCCAGUUGAAUUGGGUUUGCUGGGCUUUGCUUUUGCGCAACGAAAUGUGUAAAACCACUGCUCUUCCUCUGUUGGUAACUUAGCUUCAUCUCAGAGAACCGCUCCUCCUCCCCCAUUCCCUGCCCCAACUCUGGACGCUGCCAUCCUGAGUCUUCAAGCUGGACAUCUGGAGCCGCCUUCCAAUCUCCCCUUCACCUCACCCUCCCGCAUCCAGGGCCUCCGUGGCCUGUAAACUCCUUCCCUGUAACAUUUUGGACAUUUUUCCCCUUCUCUUCUUGCCUGCUUUCGCUGCAUCAGGGAAUUCUUUUUCACCCCAGUGACUGCAGUAGCCUUCGAGACAGCCGCUGUGCCCCCAUCUCCUCCAAACCCGGCCCAUCCUACACCCUGUGUUAAGAAGCCUGCCCGAGACGGUCAUACCUGCACGGAAGAAGACGCUGCAUUGGAAGCAUCUUUCUUGGGUUCUGUGCGAUAUUCAAACUUGAAUUUUACUGAGGUUCUGAAAAGAGGACUGAGAGAUAUCCCCAGGUGUCCUCACAAUGGAGGGGUCCAGGAGGGCCACUCAGGUUGUCCCACCCAAAGGGCAGACAUUGGAAGCACAGUGUAAUGGGACCAUAGACCGUACAGGAACGUGUUUCUGUUCCGUUUCGCAGUCUCCCACAAGUACUGGAGGACAGGGUCCGUAUCUGCUUAUUUAUCACUGGCUCGACAACGUCUGGCACUAUUCCCAGCAUAUAGUAGGCAAUUAAUAAAUACUUUGUAAAUGGAUGAAGGAGUGUUUAACAAAGAGCCAUUUGGCCAACUAUAUAUUACUGCAACUUAGUCCUUUAUUGUUGGAUGUAAGUAUUCUUUUUUCUCCUUUGAAUAGCGCCGCCAUGACAAGCCUUUAUCAGUUAAGGACUGUACUCAGCUAAAAACCCGGUCACAGUAGCUUCACCAUCCAGGCUUUAUUCUUGUUUGUAGAGGAACCCAGCGCUGAGAAGUCAUUAGGGACAGUCUUCUUCCACCUUUCUGCUCUACCACCGUCCAGGUAAAGCUUUCAUCCCCAAGGCUAUAAGAGCUGCUGGAGCGCGAGACAUUACAGCAGAAUUUCCAAGCAGGAAGCAGGAGUCCCAAGUCGACUGCGUUUCCAAGGUUAGUAAAAAAGAUCGGGUGUUAUGCACCAAUAGCCAAACGCAAGGGUGAGCCAGGUUUUUCAAAUGACUCGUUAGUUCUGUCUUUCCGAUGAGUUCCCAAAAAAAGAAUCCUUGGGAAAGACGAAAGUUGACCGCUCCGUCGUAACUAGUUUGCCUCUGAGGGUCACCAAGUUGUAAACUCCACGGAUAGCCAAUCCCUUGCUCACAGCAGCACGAGGGAGUGUGUUCUCAGGGUGUCCGUUGAGUUGAGCUGACAUCGCUGUAUGGGAAGGACCACCUGGCUUAUGUCCUGAAGGAUGAAGCAGGUCCAUGUUGCUGUCAGUGUGUCGGAUGCCCUUUGGUCCCCACUGGGGAAUGGGUACUGUCCUACUGACCCCCUGCAAGUUUCCAUCUAUUCAGGGGACUAGUGGUUUCCAGUCUUCUGAGGUGUUCCACGGGGGCUCCAGGCCAGGCCGGAGUGGGCCACACUCAGGAACCACAUCAUUCACUGCUCCCAGAGGCAAUUCCUCCUGUUCUAGGCUAUACAGAUGUAAAGACUUCAGCCAGUGAAAGGCAGGCUUCCGCUGGGAAAACAAACAAAACAAAACAAAAACAAACAAAAAAACAACCACGUGUAUUUAAUUCCUGGACAAUAGAGGAUACUUUUUUUUCCUCUGUGAUUUUUGAUUUUUUGUUUCCUCAAUAACGAAGCUCUGGCCACAGUGAAUAAACUUUUCAGGGGAUGCUGUAUCUGUCCUCUUUCUCCCAUCACCCAACAAGAAGGAAAAAGAACUGCAGGGUGAACGGAAGGUUUAGGAAGACAUUUACUUUUUCAAAAGUAUCUAAAGCAGACUCUGCACGGGCCUAACUGAUCCCAGUUGUGGGGUGUUGUGAGUUGAGGCUUGGAUGUUCUCCACCAGGCAGACUGGGCAGACUUUUAGCCAAGUCUCCACAUGGCUGGUGUUCAAUACAUAGUUUUUUGAUGGAUUGACUGAGUUCUCUUGCGCCAGAUCAAGCAGUUUCCAAAGUGAAGAAAAUAGUUGUGACUUUCUUUUCCUGUGUUAAAGAGUACAAUGUGUGCGAUAUUCCACAGGUCCCCGGGACUUGGCUGAAUAUCUUCCAAUGUAAUCAAACCGUUGAUUGGUUCGUGCUCAGAGAAGGUGGUAGGAAAGCAAAACAAUGUAACUUCUUGGAUUGGAUUCUCAAGCACUAAUUACUCUUCCUGAAUCCCCUGGCUUCUCCUGCCUCCUGAGAACCUGGAACCCUCCUUAUCCAGAAGGGAGGUCCUUACCCUCACAAGUGAACAUCUAUCUCCUAUAAGUCAGUGCUCUUAAAAGAAACCAUCUAAGCGGAAGUGAAAUUUAUUGAAAGUAUACCGAGUAGCUGAAGAACUGGAAAGUCUGAGAACCAGGCUCAGAAACUUGAUUGCCACAAAAUCACUUUGUUGUAGACUAGCCUGGGGAGAGAACCACAAUCUCUCCUGCUGGUCUGGAGCCUCUGCCUUGCUCUGCCCUCCCGGCCUCACUCCUUGUCUGCCCCGGGAAUCUUGCACAACUACCCCCACCCCCACUGAGAGUAGUUGCCUGGGCUCCGAGUCUUUGCAGAACCAGUUCUGUCUGCAAGGACCAGCGUGGAGAGUGUCUGAAGGGAGAAGCCAAGGUCACAUGCCAACACUCCUAGUGAACACUUGAGGACAUUCUGUUGUCCAGUUGUCCAUACUCAAAGUAUGGUCCACAAAGGAAGACAUAAACCAGGCUUUGUCUGCCUUCCCCUAAGACUCAAGGCUGGGGGAUUCUCCUCACACAGGAGGGGCUCAGACGCAAACUGCCAAGACGAAUCACAAACGUCCACACUCCCUAACCAAGAUGCCACCGCACCGUCUUUUUGUGCCUAUGUUCUUUUUUGGUCUGUUAACUCCCGCAGGAAGCAAUAAGGUGUGCCCAGGGAGAGGAGGCUAGAGGCAGCUGGAAACAGGAAGACAGCAUGGUGUCGGAGGCUGAGGAAGCAAAGAGAGCACGAUGUGAUUUCCACGCAGCACACGGCCAGUUUACUUUCCAGCACUCUUGCGCAAUCCAAGUAUUUAAGGUACUCGAGUGUCCGCUGCGUGCCUAGCACGGCAGGAGAUAGAGCUUCAUUUUGUGCGGACAUUUACACCCUGGUUGGAAGACACGAGUCCGUCGCUCAAAUCAGUUGGAGAAAGGCAGAGGACUGUGCCUCAAAUUUGGAUGCCAUCCUCGGGGGGAUCUUGUUAGAAGUGCAGAUUGGGGUUGGGGGCUGGGAUGCUGCAUUUCGAACAAGCUCCCAGGUGCUGCUGCUGCUGGGGUAUCAGGAGCACAGCAUGUCAUUUGUGCCAAGGAGGAGAGCAUUUAGGUGGGUCGUAGCACCGUGGAGAUUUUCGGAGGGGAAACCCUGAGAUUCAGGCACUGAGCGUGCAAAGACCUAACUGAGCCCUGAAAAGAGGGCAGGAGUUAAUUCGGCAGAAAGUAGAGGAAUCCCCGUGUUGGGCCCACUUGUGUGUUACACCAAGGGUGAUGAGCCAUCCCGGUUUGCCUGGGACUGUCCUGGUUGUAGCACGGUAGGUCUUGAGUCCCGGGAGCAAGUGUCACACUUCCGUGACACUUGCCCAGUGACACCCAGCCGGAGGCAGACAAUAACUACGUGCUAUUUGCUUGACAGAUUGGCCAAGUUUACACUUUAUGAAGGUUAAAGUCACAUGGAGUCCGUUUCAUUUCUGGUCUUAGUAAUGGCUUGGAAAGGAAGCGGCACAGCUUUAGAUAAGGCGAUCCUGUUUUUUCUUAAUACUACUGUGAUAUCAAUCUUCACGUCACAGCGUUACAGUGACAUUUCUUAAGCAAGGACUCCCUUUUAUUACUCAGAAAAUUUUAAAUUUCUAUGCGUGUAUUCCCAGUAGGGAACGUGAAAUGUCAGAAGCACGGUGGGAGGCCCUCGAAACACAAGUCUUCGUACUUGAACCACAUCACUACACUUCAGCAAAUCGGGCGGACCGUGUCAUGGCAGAACUUCUGAAUCACCCACAGCCGUGGACAUGCUGUCCGGUCCCCUGGGUCACAGCUUAGCACACAGAUUCCGGAAGCGGGCUUGCCCUUCACCCAGACAGCGGACCAUCCUUACAGCGAGCCGAUGCUUUUCCUAAAGCAAGUGUUGAUUUGCUUUGAUCCGCUUCCUCCUUACCCGCAAGCAUGCUGGCAGUGCCUAGGGAGCUCGAGCAAAGUCCAACCGGGAGCAGCUGCCACUUUCAGGGAGCAAAUCCUCCAGCCUGCUGCUGAUCGAGUGUGACCUGGGCCUAGCUUGGGGGAGGUGGCCGGCCAGCUGAGCAAAUACAGCCAGGUGCUGGUCCUGCCUUGUCAAGCUUUAACCCUUCCCGCUUCCUGCCCCUUUUCUCUUCCUCUCACUCCAUACACACGUCUGUCUUUCCGGUUUUCUCCUCCAGGGCUUCGCGCUGUCAUUAUCUUCUGCGGACUUGCCCCCCAGGAACCAAGUAGCCUGUCGCCUUCGCUGGAAGGUUCGUUCCCACCUCCACCCACAGACUCCCCUAGAAGUGUCUGGCCCUCUUGGAAUCUCUCCUAACAAUUCCGAUCAUCCCAGCUGUCACUUCCAAGCACCGCUGUUCUCGCUCACCGGGGUCCGAACGCCUGGGGUCCUGUCUCUCGGAGUCCCACCCCGUGCGGGUUACAGAGCGGUGCCCAGCUGAGUCCAGGACCGUGGGUCAGGACUGGAGCCUGCUCCCGCACCCCAAGGUGGCUUCGAGACCGGAGAGAUCUUGCCUUUGUGAAGUCUGGCCCACGUGUAAAAUCGCUCCACUCUCUUCCUCUUUCGCACAGCCUAGCUCUUUUCAUCUGAUUUCAACCAGUAAGACGGAGUUUCAAGUCUCCCCCUUUAUGUUCGCACAGUUGCCACUACGGGCCCACCCCAGUGGCUUGGAGAAGGCAAGUUCUUAGCAGAGCCCUGUCUGUAGGCCGUGUGCCUGAUGAGGACCUCGCCAGGAAGGGGGGUGGCAGAGGGGUGUGGGGGCGUGGCUGUGUGUUAAUGGUCUUGCCUUCCCUUCC